rnacentral:lncRNA from 1 species
CUCGGAUAAAAUAUCUGCAAGAUCUUAAAUAAUGUUGUUUAUUGCACCAAAAACAAAUAACUUUAGGAGUUAUAUUCUGCCUUUGAUUUGAACAAAUUGGGAGGGGCUCAGCUGUCUGUAUCACUCUACACUCUGUCCUAGAAGAAGAAGAAGGAGGAGGGCUGUAAAAUCUGCACUUCUUCCUCUGCCUAAAUCCACAAGUCAUUUUAACCCCCUUCAUUAUUGGUUUCCCUCCUUAAGUUAUCCAAG